rnacentral:rRNA from 1 species
CGGAUCGCAGGCUGCAACUCGCCUGCGUCAAGUUGGAAUUGCUAGUAAUCGCGGAUCAGCAUGCCGCGGUGAAUACGUUCCCGGGCCUUGUACACACCGCCCGUCACACCAUGAGAGUCGGGAACACCCGAAGUCCGUAGUCUAACCGCAAGGAGGGCGCGGCCGAAGGUGGGUUCGAUAAUUGGGGUGAAGUCGUAACAAGGUACC